UCCCAGACUCCUACGGGAGGCAGCAGUGAGGAAUAUUGGUCAAUGGGCGCGAGCCUGAACCAGCCAAGUCGCGUGAGGGAAGACGGUCCUAUGGAUUGUAAACCUCUUUUGUCGGGGAGCAAAAGACGCCACGCGUGGCGUUCCGAGAGUACCCGAAGAAAAAGCAUCGGCUAACUCCGUGCCAGCAGCCGCGGUAAUACGGAGGAUGCGAGCGUUAUCCGGAUUUAUUGGGUUUAAAGGGUGCGCAGGCGGAAGAUUAAGUCAGCGGUAAAAUUUCGGGGCUCAACCCCGUCGUGCCGUUGAAACUGGCGUUCUUGAGUGAGCGAGAAGUAUGCGGAAUGCGUGGUGUAGCGGUGAAAUGCAUAGAUAUCACGCAGAACUCCGAUUGCGAAGGCAGCGUACCGGCGCCCAACUGACGCUGAAGCACGAAGGCGUGGGUAUCGAACAGGAUUAGAUACCCUAGUAA
rnacentral:rRNA from 1 species